rnacentral:rRNA from 1 species
AUUGAACGCUGGCGGCAUGCCUUACACAUGCAAGUCGAACGGCAGCACGGGAGCAAUCCUGGUGGCGAGUGGCGAACGGGUGAGUAAUAUAUCGGAACGUGCCCAGUCGUGGGGGAUAACGUAGCGAAAGCUACGCUAAUACCGCAUACGAUCUAUGGAUGAAAGCGGGGGAUCGCAAGACCUAGCGCGAUUGGAGCGGCCGAUAUCAGAUUCGGUAGUUGGUGAGGUAAAGGGUAACCAAGCCGACGUUCUGUAGCUGGUCUGAGAGGACGACCACCCACACUGGACAUGAGACACGGUCCAGACUCCUACGGGAGGCAGCAGUGGGGAAUUUUGGACAAUGGGCGCAAGCCUGAUCCAGCAAUGCCGCGUGCAGGAUGAAGGCCUUCGGGUUGUAAACUGCUUUUGUACGGAACGAAACGGUGAGCUCUAAUACAGUUUGCUAAUGACGGUACCGUAAGAAUAAGCACCGGCUAACUACGUGCCAGCAGCCGCGGUAA